UCACUGCCAUCCCCAUCCCUCAUUUUGACUAUUGGAUUUUCCUCAGAGGGGAGGAAGGUGGGAAAGGAUGCACACAUUCCUAGCAAUUAUGUGCAAGUUCACAAUCUUACCACCAACAUUGAUAAUCAAAGAAAAAAGGGUAAAAAUGUGGAUUGAUAACAUGAGUCAUGAACCCUUGAACUUCGACAACUUUCACUACCAUAAUACCACU
rnacentral:lncRNA from 1 species